UGCUAUCUCAGACCAAACCGGUAGUGUAUUUUCCAAACACCAAGUCUUGGAGAACAAGAUUAUGCUGCAUGUAUAACAACUAAAGAAGAUGCCCAGACAACGUUAAUGGAAAAUGAGCAUUUUCUGCUGGUGUUUAAAGUGGAUCUGCACACACUCUCUCAUGGUUACAUAGGAGACUAACUACAUGUUAAGCUUAUACAAACUUGAAAAUUCCUUGACUAAUAGACACUAGAUUGCCAACCAUAUUAAUUCAUAAUGGACAUGUGUGACCAGAAACUUAAAAUGUAAGGAAUAAAGUAUUUUUCCAUUGGCAAA